AAGGCUAUACUUUCAGGGAUCAUUUCAAUAGUUUCUGACUUGAGAAAUGUGUUUCUGAAGUGUUUGGUCUUGCUAACUAUGAUGAUGAGUUGUGAUAUUCCUUUCUGAGUGUGAAGCUGAUAGAGUAAUGAUUCCCUUAAUGUACUCUCUGUCAUUGAUGAUCAUUCUUUGCUUCUUUAUGAAGCAUUGAUGAAGGGAAUGUGGUCAGAGUGGU